rnacentral:lncRNA from 1 species
CUGUUUCUGUGAAGAGGAGAGCAUGAAAUGUGUGGAAUACUGUGCUGAGACCUUUAUCACAAGAAAGAACCCAGAGGAUUUAGACAGGCAAGGGAGUCAGGAAACUUGCAUGUCAUAUCCUACAGGAGGCAUAAAAAUGGACUGCUUUUUUGAAAAACAAGAUUCUGUUAUAUCACAGAGAGAAGCAUGCAGCAGCAGUUCUCCUUGCCAGGACUGUGCACAACUUUGUCAUAGCCUGCAUCAUCU